rnacentral:rRNA from 1 species
AGGGUGAACGCUGGCGGCGCGCCUCAUACAUGCAAGUCGAGCGAGAGCUCUUCUCCCGUAAGGGAGGGGAGUUUCUAGCGGCAAACGGGUGAGUAACACGUGGGCAACCUACCCUAUCGUGGGGAAUAACUCCGGGAAACCGGGGCUAAUGCCGCAUGUGGUCACCGAAGGCAUCUUCGGUGAAGAAAGCAGCAAUGCGCGAUAGGAUGGGCCCGCGACCUAUCAGCUAGUUGGUGGGGUAACGGCCUACCAAGGCGAUGACGGGUAGCUGGUCUGAGAGGAUGAUCAGUCACAUGGGGACUGAGACACGGCCCCGACUCCUACGGGAGGCAGCAGUAAGGAAUCUUCCGCAAUGGGCGAAAGCCUGACGGAGCGACGCCGCGUGUGGGAUGAAGUCUUUAGGGAUGUAAACCACUGUCGGAGGGGAAGAUACAAGACGGUACCCUCCAAGGAGCCCCGGCUAACUACGCGCCAGCAGCCGCGGUAA